rnacentral:ncRNA from 1 species
GCAAAAACGAUGACGGAGAAAAGUAUCUUAUCAAAGACCAUUUUAGGGAGAAAGUGCCUUGACUGAAAGCACUUUUAUGGCAAGGCUAAGAGAAGUUCACCUCCUGAGUUGGCAUCGGGACCAUUUCAAAUCGAAAUGUAAAGAUGCACCGGCCUAAGCCGUUAUCUCAAUGAAGCGAACACAUGUGUUUUAUACAUACCGUGUUUACAAGGGUGGUACCGCGACUAUAAACCUCGUCCCUUUC